AUUGAACGCUGGCGGCAGGCCUAACACAUGCAAGUCGAACGAGUGGCGGACGGGUGAGUAAUGUCUGUGAAACUGCCUGAUGGAGGGGGAUAACUACUGGAAACGGUAGCUAAUACCGCAUACCAUCGGAUGUGCCCAGAUGGGAUUAGCUAGUAGGUGGGGUAACGGCUCACCUGGGCGACGAUCCCUAGCUGGUCUGAGAGGAUGACCAGCCACCUUGGAACUGAGAAACGGUCCAGACGCCUACGGGAGGCAGCAGGGGGGAAUAUUGCACAAUGGGGGCAAGCCUGAUGCAUCCAUGCCGCGUGUAUGAAGAAGGCGUUCGGGUGGUAAGGUACUUUCAUAGGGGAGGCGUUACCCGCAGAAGAAGCACCGGCUAACGCCGUGCCAGCCGCCGCGGUAAUAC
rnacentral:rRNA from 1 species